UGGGGAAUAUUGCGCAAUGCGGGGAACCCUGACGCAGCCAUGCCGCGUGAAUGAAGAAGGCCUUAGGGUUGUAAAGUUCUUUCGGUAUUGAGGAAGGUUGAUGUGUUAAUAGCACAUCAAAUUGACGUUAAAUACAGAAGAAGCACCGGCUAACUCCGUGCCAGCAGCCGCGGUAAUACGGAGGGUGCGAGCGUUAAUCGGAAUAACUGGGCGUAAAGGGCACGCAGGCGGUUAUUUAAGUGAGGUGUGAAAGCCCCGGGCUUAACCUGGGAAUUGCAUUUCAGACUGGGUAACUAGAGUACUUUAGGGAGGGGUAGAAUUCCACGUGUAGCGGUGAAAUGCGUAGAGAUGUGGAGGAAUACCGAAGGCGAAGGCAGCCCCUUGGGAAUGUACUGACGCUCAUGUGCGAAAGCGUGGGGAGCAAACAGGAUUAGAUACCCUGGUAGUCCACGCUGUAAACGCUGUCGAUUUGGGGGUUGGGGUUUAACUCUGGCGCCCGUAGCUAACGUGAUAAAUCGACCGCCUGGGGAGUACGGCCGCAAGGUUA
rnacentral:rRNA from 1 species